rnacentral:rRNA from 1 species
UACGGAGGGUGCAAGCGUUAUCCGGAUUCACUGGGUUUAAAGGGUGCGUAGGUGGGUUGGUAAGUCAGUGGUGAAAUCCCCGAGCUUAACUUGGGAACUGCCAUUGAUACUAUUAAUCUUGAAUACUGUGGAGGUCAGCAGAAUAUGUCAUGUAGCGGUGAAAUGCUUAGAUAUGACAUAGAAUACCAAUUGCGAAGGCAGCUGGCUACACAAUCAUUGACGCUGAGGCACGAAAGCGUGGGGAUCAAACAGG